UAUCAUUCCUUAUGAAAAGGAAGGUAGCCCAGAAGCUUGCUAUUCAGAAGGCUAUGACAGAAGCAUUCCGGAAACUGCUGAUUGUGGUUUUAGGUCUCUUUCGGUUCCAAUCAAGAGAAGUCUUGAGAGUUCUGAGAAUAUUUCUUUGAGGGCUUCAAAUCACCAUACCUACAUCCUCUGCCACAACUACACACACGGGAACAAAAAUAAACCUCUGCUAUCUACUCAUGUAGGAGGGAUUCAUGCAAAAUAAACUCCUACAUGGAGACCAACAGUGAAGUGUCUUACAGAGGUUUGGAAUCCCUUGAAGAAGGAAGAUCUUUUAGCCAAUACACCUUAACCGUGAGAAGCUGGUUUCAAGAAUGAACCUGAAAUACUGUAUUUUUCUCCUGAUGAUUCCAAGGAGAGACAGCUCAAGUUUUCUAAAUCAUAAGAAAAACCAAGGUAAAUAUGAUAUUCUGAGCCAGAGAUGAAAAAGCAGCUUUUAGCACCCCCUCCUCAUGUCAUAUGACCGGGAUUUAAAUCAAUCAACUGCCACUGGUUUUUAAAUCACAUGACCCAACUUUAAAUCAAUCAGCUGCUUCCC